rnacentral:lncRNA from 1 species
AUAUAUAUAUAAGACCCAGGGGAUAGGAGAUGAAAUAGAAGAACAGAAAUUUAUGAAAAUAGGUACUUUUAUUGAUAAUUGAAGAAGAUUUAAAUAUUACAAGGAUAAUUGAAAGAUAUUUGAGAGAACAAAUUACAAAGAAAAGUAAAACUUCUUCUUGCUGAAUUCGCUCUACUUGAAAUGAAAUUUUGAACUCCUUUUAUAAUGAAGUCCGAACUUGAAAUUUCUUUCAUUUUGAAGAAAGAAUCUUGAAAAGAGAAGUGGACGACAUCAAAAUGGAGCAUCUUGAAAAGCAGCAUCAACUUUAGUCAAAAGUUUCCAAUUUUUGACUUCCUUUAAUAAAGAUAAUCUUUUUCUUUAUUAAAGUAGAUAUUGAUGUCUGACACAAAGUUGAUGGGAAUCUUGACAAAUGUAGCACCAUCGAUUUUGAAUUGGACAAAGGUUGAGAAGAAUUUCUCUUGCUUGAUAGACCCUUGAAUGUCUCAAUUCAUCAAGAAAACUGGGUCCAUUUAGUCAUUUUGAAGUU